rnacentral:rRNA from 1 species
AUGAACGCUAGCGACAGGCUUAACACAUGCAAGUCGAGGGGCAGCGGGGGUAGCGAUACCCGCCGGCGACCGGCGCACGGGUGAGUAACGCGUAUGCAACUUACCUAUCAGAGGGGGAUAACCCGGCGAAAGUCGGACUAAUACCGCAUAAAGCAGGGGCCCCGCAUGGGGAUAUUUGCUAAAGAUUCAUCGCUGAUAGAUAGGCAUGCGUUCCAUUAGGCAGUUGGCGGGGUAACGGCCCACCAAACCGACGAUGGAUAGGGGUUCUGAGAGGAAGGUCCCCCACAUUGGUACUGAGACACGGACCAAACUCCUACGGGAGGCAGCAGUGAGGAAUAUUGGUCAAUGGGCGUAAGCCUGAACCAGCCAAGUCGCGUGAGGGAUGAAGGUUCUAUGGAUCGUAAACCUCUUUUAUAAGGGAAUAAAGUGCGGGACGUGUCCCGUUUUGUAUGUACCUUAUGAAUAAGGAUCGGCUAACUCCGUGCCAGCAGCCGCGGUAAUACGGAGGAUCCGAGCGUUAUCCGGAUUUAUUGGGUUUAAAGGGUGCGUAGGCGGCCUUUUAAGUCAGCGGUGAAAGUCUGUGGCUCAACCAUAGAAUUGCCGUUGAAACUGGGGGGCUUGAGUAUGUUUGAGGCAGGCGGAAUGCGUGGUGUAGCGGUGAAAUGCUUAGAUAUCACGCAGAACCCCGAUUGCGAAGGCAGCCUGCCAAGCCAUGACUGACGCUGAUGCACGAAAGCGUGGGGAUCAAACAGGAUUAGAUACCCUGGUAGUCCACGCAGUAAACGAUGAUCACUAGCUGUUUGCGAUACAGUGUAAGCGGCACAGCGAAAGCGUUAAGUGAUCCACCUGGGGAGUACGCCGGCAACGGUGAAACUCAAAGGAAUUGACGGGGGCCCGCACAAGCGGAGGAACAUGUGGUUUAAUUCGAUGAUACGCGAGGAACCUUACCCGGGUUUGAACGCAUUCGGACCGAGGUGGAAACACCUUUUCUAGCAAUAGCCGUUUGCGAGGUGCUGCAUGGUUGUCGUCAGCUCGUGCCGUGAGGUGUCGGCUUAAGUGCCAUAACGAGCGCAACCCUUGCCACUAGUUACUAACAGGUAAAGCUGAGGACUCUGGUGUGACUGCCAGCGUAAGCUGCGAGGAAGGCGGGGAUGACGUCAAAUCAGCACGGCCCUUACAUCCGGGGCGACACACGUGUUACAAUGGCGUGGACAAAGGGAAGCCACCUGGCGACAGGGAGCGAAUCCCCAAACCACGUCUCAGUUCGGAUCGGAGUCUGCAACCCGACUCCGUGAAGCUGGAUUCGCUAGUAAUCGCGCAUCAGCCAUGGCGCGGUGAAUACGUUCCCGGGCCUUGUACACACCGCCCGUCAAGCCAUGGGAGCCGGGGGUACCUGAAGUCCGUAACCGAAAGGAUCGGCCUAGGGUAAAACUGGUGACUGGGGCU